rnacentral:rRNA from 1 species
UACGUAGGGUGCGAGCGUUGUCCGGAAUUAUUGGGCGUAAAGGGCUCGUAGGCGGUUUGUCGCGUCGGGAGUGAAAACACGGGGCUUAACCCCGUGCCUGCUUCCGAUACGGGCAGACUAGAGGUAUGCAGGGGAGAACGGAAUUCCUGGUGUAGCGGUGAAAUGCGCAGAUAUCAGGAGGAACACCGGUGGCGAAGGCGAUUCUCUGGGCAUUACCUGACGCUGAGGAGCGAAAGUGUGGGGAGCGAACAGG